GGUUGUAGCUCAGUGGUAAAGCACUUGUCUUGCAUGCAUGAGGCACUGGGUUCAAUUCUCAGCACCA
rnacentral:tRNA from 1 species